rnacentral:ribozyme from 1 species
UGGACCGAGGAACAGUGCCUCCUCGUGGCGAGAGUCGUGAGUAGGUUGCCUUGGCAACCGAAACAAAAUCUGUU